rnacentral:misc_RNA from 1 species
UGGGUGUUGGUGGGGUUGGGUGUGUGAAGAAAUUAAGCACCAUUAUUGAUAUAUUUGGUGGUUUACAUAUAAAUAAUAAUUAAAUCAAUUUUCAAGGCCUGGUCACAAUUGCUACUCAUAACUAAAGUACAAUUCUAAUAUGGUCAUUUCUAUAGUAAAAGCUAUAAUUUCAAAUAGAGUAGUUCAGGAACAACACAAGUUUAACAAUUAAGUUGACACAAGCAUAAGACUUUUGACAAGGCCAUAAAGUAUUGGACAGAGGAGGUUCAAAAAAGCAGGCCUGGAGAGAGGAUUUAUUUGGUGAUGUAUCAUAUAAUACUGACAUGUUAUUUAGCUAUUAUUAUUUGUUUUCAAGUUUAUAGAAUCAAUAGUGGAAUACUUGUGAAAAUAGAAAUAUGUAAUAUUUCUAGCAUUUUUCAUAAUUCUACAACAAUACUAUAUUAUAGAAAUGUCAAAUUGAGAUAGAUUGCUUCACACACUCACACAAACCUUUCAUUUUCAAUAACAGAAGUUACUAUAAAUCCUAGCAGAAAUAGCCAAGGCUUAGAUAGAGGAUAGAUUAAUUUACAACAAUUGUCAGCUACAUAUUUUUACUAUACCCUUUAAUUAACAGAAAAACAAAAUAUAAUUACCAAGUCCCAACUAAAAUAUUUAAAUACAAAUUUCACAGGGAAAAUAUAUUAUGCAGACAAAAAUAAUAAUAAUAUCAUAUGUUUCGCAAUGACUAGGGAAAUUUUCAAAAGGUACACAUAAAGCAUGCUCCAGUAGGAUAGUGUCAGAAACAUGUCUAUACAAAAACUUAUAGCACAUAAAAUAUCAAACAUGUGCAUGAAAAGUAUGAAACUGUUAUUAAGAUGCAAAUUUUUUCAAAACAUGGGACAAACUAAAAGCAUUUUUGAAGCAGUAAUCACAUGAGUUAGAGGCAUCUAUCACCUUCAAAGCAAUUUAAAUGUUUAAUCAUUAAGCUAUAAGUUAAUAGUAUUCAUCUAUAGAAUUUUUAUAUAAGCAUAUCUUAUAAGAUAUAAUGAUCAUAUACAUAAAGAUAACAAUAAAUGGUCACCUCUUUCCAAUUUGGGAUUCCACCCUCAG